AAGAACCAGACAGUCAGCAGCGACUAAGAAGCUAAAUGCUCGGCUUGUGUUCAGCCCAGAGGGCCUCAACGCUGUUUUCAGUUCCAGUCCAAACAAUUUGUACACCUGUUGAGGAGAAAAUAAAAUAUGACAGCAGCACAAAGUCCAGAGGAUUUAAGCGAUUUACACUGAGGCCUUAAAUCUGAGCAGAAAAGGCCAGGGUACUUAACAAGUCCUUCUCAGGGCCCUGUGUUCUCAUGGAGUGCGAGCAUGCAGAGACAUUUAGGCUCUGACCGGUAUUCUGAGCGGGCUGAACAUACACUCUAGAAUACCUUUGAUGUUGCCAUAAUUGUGUGUGUGAUCCUUAAUCACAGAUGUCAUCCAAUUUUAUUAAAUCUAAUGUAGAUAAAACC
rnacentral:lncRNA from 1 species